CAGGGCUGGGGAAGGGCUACUGGGCUGUGGGGCCAGCAGGCCCAGCCUCGUACCAGCCAGCCCCCCCCCGUGCCCCAGAGCAAGGCCCGGGCUGCCCCGGGCUCAUCCCGUGCAGUACCAGGUGUGAGCAUCAGUGCAGCCUUUUGGUGCUCAUGUAUGAUGCUGCAGACACCU